rnacentral:rRNA from 1 species
AUUGAACGCUGGCGGCAGGCCUAACACAUGCAAGUCGAACGAGUGGCGGACGGGGGAGUAUUUUCUGGUAAACUGCCUGAUGGAGGGGGAUCAUUACUGGUAACGGUAGCUAAUACCGCCUACCAUCGGAUGUGCCCAGAUGGGAUUAGCUAGUUGGUGGGGUAAAGGCUCACCUAGGCGACGAUCCCUAGCUGGUCUGAGAGGAUGACCAGGCACCCUGUAACUGAGACACGGUCCAGACACGUACGGAAGGCAGCAGGGGGGAAUACUGCACAAUGGGCGCAAGCCUGAUGCAGCCAUGCCUCGUGUAUGAAGAAGGCCUGCGGGUUGUAGAGUACUUGCAGCGGGGAGGCGGUACCAGAAGAAGAAGCACCGGCUAACUCCGUGCCAGCAGCCGCGGUAAUAC